UGCAUCUGAGGCCUGCGAGGAUGAGAACCUCCGGGGGCAGGAGGUUCGACUCGAGCGAAGCGAGAGAACGUUGCGUCAGCAACGGCCCGCAGGGC
rnacentral:sRNA from 1 species